ACGGAAGGCAGCAGUGGGGAAUAUUGCACAAUGGGCGAAAGUCUGAUGCAGCGACGCCGCGUGAGUGAAGAAGUAUCUCGGUAUGUAAAGCUCUAUCAGCAGGGAAGAAAAUGACGGUACCUGACUAAGAAGCCCCGGCUAACUACGUGCCAGCAGCCGCGGUAAUACGUAGGGGGCAAGCGUUAUCCGGAUUUACUGGGUGUAAAGGGAGCGUAGACGGUUUGGCAAGUCUGAAGUGAAAUGCGGGGGCUCAACUCCUGAACUGCUUUGGAAACUGUCGAACUAGAGUGCAGGAGAGGUAAGUGGAAUUCCUAGUGUAGCGGUGAAAUGCGUAGAUAUUAGGAGGAACACCAGUGGCGAAGGCGGCUUACUGGACUGUAACUGACGUUGAGGCUCGAAAGCGUGGGGAGCAAACAGGAUUAGAUACCCUGGUA
rnacentral:rRNA from 1 species